AUUGAACGCUGGCGGCAGGCCUAACACAUGCAAGUCGAGCGGAUGAAGGGAGCUUGCUUCUGGAUUCAGCGGCGCACGGGUGAGUAAUGCCUAGGAAUCUGCCUGGUAGUGGGGGAUAACGUCCGGAAACGGGCGCUAAUACCGCAUACGUCCUGAGGGAGAAAGUGGGGGAGCUUCGGACCUCACGCUAUCAGAUGAGCCUAGGUCGGGUUAGCUAGUUGGUGGGGUAAAGGGCUACCAAGGCGACGAUCCGUAACUGGUCUGAGAGGAUGAUCAGUCACACUGGAACUGAGACACGGUCCAGACUCCUACGGGAGGCAGCAGUGGGGAAUAUUGGACAAUGGGCGAAAGCCUGAUCCAGCCAUGCCGCGUGUGUGAAGAAGGUCUUCGGAUUGUAAAGCACUUUAAGUUGGGAGGAAGGGCAGUAAGUUAAUACCUUGCUGUUUUGACGUUACCAACAGAAUAAGCACCGGCUAACUUCGUG
rnacentral:rRNA from 1 species